rnacentral:lncRNA from 1 species
GGGGUUAUUCUGUAUGUUAGUAAAUUGAACACCAAUAAAAAAAAAAUAAAUAAAAAUAAAUAAAUAAAUAAAUAUUUGAGGUUCUAAUUUAUUAGAGGAUGUCUGAUGGCCUGUGGUUGCCCAGAGUGUGGCCAACAGGUGAGAGAAAGGGCUUCCAGGGAAGCUGAAUUUAAGCUCAACAGUCAGGGCCUGUGUCGAUGAAGAGGAUGAGGAGAGCUCUUCUAACAGAACAUUUUCUGUGACCCCUCCUGAACCAGUGUCCAGGUACCAUGACGUGUGCAUCCUGGGGAAGUGUCUGUGCAUGGAUAUAAAGUGAUGGCAUACAUCUUGGAAUUUAUAUCUGGUUCGGUGUGAAGCAACAAUAGAUGAGAAUGUGCCCAAGAGCAGAAGCAGCUUCCUACAUACCCUGAAUCCAGAGGUGUAGCUGGCGUGCCCUUCAGUGCCUCGGGAUUUCUCGAGCAGAUGAAGCCUUGCCCUGGAAUGCUUGGUGGCCCAUCUUGGUAGCAACCCCAGGAAGUGGCAAUCACAGAAAGGGUCUCCCUCAGAGCAAAUUGCCAAACAUCCCCAUUUCCUUCACUCUAAAGGGUUAUUCAUUGAUCCCCUUCCAGCGAGAACACAUUUUUUUAGAGCCUCUGAGGAAUGACAAAGGCUUAGAGUCAAUAAUGAUCGGUUUAUGAAGAGAAAUGAGACCCGAUUUUGCACCGUGAGCUGGCGAAGUGGGUCAUAUCUUCACACGAAUUUUUAAGUAAAAUUUGAAAAUCGCCUAUCACAGAAAGCUAUGUGACCCCAAAGGCAGUGAUAUUUUCUUUAGCAGUGAGGAGGUAGAGCUUAUGGGAAGCAGAAUGUAAUUAAAAGUCAUAUCCAAUAUUCUGCUGCUCAACUGAUGUCUUAUUAAAAAUGUGUGCUUGUGGCCAAGGAAGUAGGAGGUGCACUCUCAGCUGUCAGGCCGAGAAAAGAGUGCUGUGCCCAGGAUCCAUCCUGAAAGGCCUGCUCACUCAGAUCCCCGGUCCACGAGGAGGGAGUCGCUUACAUCGCCUUCCCACAUGACAAUCAAAAUCACACCACAGACUUCACUUUUCUCACUUCUCCUACACAAGGGCUCAUGGUUGGGCAUAAGAUAAUGAGGACAGGCUCUGUCACCCACAAUGUGGCAAGAUAAGAUGUAGCACAGUCAGGAGAAAUUAUUUUAGGGCCCCCUCCCCCAGAGUUCACACCGGUGACUCAAUUCAUCCCCUUUCUGGCUAAUGGGUGAGAGCAGACAUGGGAUCCUCAGAUGCCCUAAGUUUUAAUUCUGCUUCCACCACUGACUUCAUUUCUGUAAUAGGUAUACUAUAAACAUCUCCCGCAUGUGGCUCCUGGAAGACAGUGUUCAACUCUAACUCACCUUACUAAACUAUAAGGAACACCAAAUUAUAUUGUGAAGUCCUCUGUGAAGCUCGAUCAAAAUUUGCGUCACUCUCCAAUCUGCCCGGUGCCAGUCUCCCUGAUGCUUUGUGAACAGUCACUGCCUAUAAAUUGAGAUUUACC